rnacentral:tRNA from 1 species
ACACUGAUGGUGAAGUGGUUAUCAUGCUUGCCUUCCACUUCUAGUGCCAGCAAGCGGCAGGGGUUCGAUUCCCCUUCAGUGUA